ACUCCUACGGGAGGCAGCAGUGGGGAAUAUUGCACAAUGGGCGCAAGCCUGAUGCAGCCAUGCCGCGUGUGUGAAGAAGGCCUUCGGGUUGUAAAGCACUUUCAGUUGUGAGGAAGGUGGUGUCGUUAAUAGCGGCAUCAUUUGACGUUAGCAACAGAAGAAGCACCGGCUAACUCCGUGCCAGCAGCCGCGGUAAUACGGAGGGUGCGAGCGUUAAUCGGAAUUACUGGGCGUAAAGCGCAUGCAGGUGGUUUGUUAAGUCAGAUGUGAAAGCCCGGGGCUCAACCUCGGAACUGCAUUUGAAACUGGCAGACUAGAGUACUGUAGAGGGGGGUAGAAUUUCAGGUGUAGCGGUGAAAUGCGUAGAGAUCUAGAAGGAAUACCGGUGGCGAAGGCGGCCCCCUGGACAGAUACUGACACUCAGAUGCGAAAGCGU
rnacentral:rRNA from 1 species